CCCUUAGAUGUUCUGGGCCGCACACGCGCUACACUGAAGGAGGCAGCGUGUACUCCUGGAUCGAAAGAUUUGGGUAACCCGCGAAUCUCCUUCGUGCUAGGGAUUGAGGUUUGCAAUUAUCCGUCAUGAACGAGGAAUUCCCAGUAAGUGCAAGUCAUAAGCUUGCGCUGACUACGUCCCUGCCCUUUGUACACACCGCCCGUCGCUACUACCGAUUGAAUGAUUUAGUGAGGACUUCGGACUGGGACCGAUGCGGCUUUCGGGCUGCGUCGGUAUUCUGGAAAGAUGUCCAAACUGUAUCAUUUAGAGGAAGUAAAAGUCGUAACA
rnacentral:rRNA from 1 species